UACGUAGGGUGCGAGCGUUGUCCGGAAUUACUGGGCGUAAAGAGCUCGUAGGUGGUUUGUCGCGUUGUUCGUGAAAACUCACAGCUCAACUGUGGGCGUGCGGGCGAUACGGGCAGACUGGAGUACUGCAGGGGAGACUGGAAUUCCUGGUGUAGCGGUGGAAUGCGCAGAUAUCAGGAGGAACACCGGUGGCGAAGGCGGG
rnacentral:rRNA from 1 species